AAAAAAAAGAGUUAUUAUUGUUAUUGUUGUUGGCUGAAUAUCAGCCAUAUGUAUAAAGUGAGAGUCUUUUUAUUUUUGUCGUCUUGCGUCGGCUGAAAAAAGCCAAAUGUACAAAAGUCGUAAAGUAAAUAGUUUGUCGGUCAAUCAUGUAAAAAGUUUGUCGGCCAAUUAUGUAAAGUAAAUAGUAUGACGGUGUAAUUUAUGUGUAUAAAUAGAGGAGCUUUCCUCAUAAAUAAAACACACCUUCAUCCUUACAUCUCUCUUCUUUCUGAAUACUCUCUCUCUACGCUUCCACCCCCAAA
rnacentral:misc_RNA from 1 species